GAUGAACGCUGGCGGCGUGCCUAAUACAUGCAAGUCGAGCGAACGGACGAGAAGCUUGCUUCUCUGAUGUUAGCGGCGGACGGGUGAGUAACACGUGGAUAACCUACCUAUAAGACUGGGAUAACUUCGGGAAACCGGAGCUAAUACCGGAUGAUAUUUUGAACCGCAUGGUUCAAAAGUGAAAGACGGUCUUGCUGUCACUUAUAGAUGGAUCCGCGCUGCAUUAGCUAGUUGGUAAGGUAACGGCUUACCAAGGCAACGAUGCAUAGCCGACCUGAGAGGGUGAUCGGCAACACUGGAACUGAGACACGGUCCAGACUCCUACGGGAGGCAGCAGUAGGGAAUCUUCCGAAAUGGGCGAAAGCCUGACGGAGCAACGCCGCGUGAGUGAUGAAGGUCUUCGGAUCGUAAAACUCUGUUAUUAGGGAAGAACAUAUGUGUAAGUAACUGUGCACAUCUUGACGGUACCUAAUCAGAAAGCCACGGCUAACUACGUG
rnacentral:rRNA from 1 species